CUGGGCUUCUCCUUUCAAAUUUCCCGCGCAAAGCGGCCCCUGUUGCUUGUCACUGAAUUUUUCUUUAUUUCCUUUUUUCCACGCACCUGGUCUCCCCCAUGAACUUUUCCACCCUCAGUCCUUAGCGAGUAGUCAAUAAGAGAAGGUCAAGUUAAUGUCACGACUGAGUGGAGUUUAGUUGAAAAAAAUAAUGGGGAGAAGUGUGUUCAAUAUCCGUGCCUUAAUCAUAGAAUUAAAAUAAUUUCAAAUAACCAGUUUAAAAAGGGACACAACAAUAAAUGCACCGAAGCAGACAAUUGAAAGUUUAGAAAUUCAGGGAGCGUGACCUUGACAUGUGCAUCAAUGGAAACUGAAUUUUUUAUAAUCAAAAAGUACAAAUAAUCCUCAAAAGAAUAGUGAAACAAUAAAAGGAGACAACUUAGGAGUGGAGAUCCGAUAAAUGUGAACUUGAUUAAAAUUUAUAAAAUAUAAACUGUUCAACGAUGCAUUAAUAACUGAGAUGUUCAAUAAUAAAUGUUUGUUGUUAAUGAAGCUACAAAUUAAUGAAUAAACGGAAGCAAAGGAUAUUGGUGAUAAAUAGAAGAAAUUCAUGAAUAAUCAAAAAUCAAUUUUAAGAAUACUCAAAUGCAAAUGAUUUCUACGAUGACAAUCUAUAAUAAAAGAUCGAUAUAUAUGUGUAAAAAACUAUAAAAGAACCACGAUUUACCAAAUAAUAGAAACAAUCAGACUUUAACGAGACUAAUGCAAAAAUAAGACUUAAAAAUGGAAUAAAAUUUUUGGUUGCAGUUUUCAUGUCCAAGAAUACAUUGAAAAAACCCGUCUAAUUAAGCUUAAUUAAACAUAAAAAGAGAAUAUCAAACCAAAUCAUCAAGAAACAAAAAAAACAAGAAUUUUCCCGGAAAUAUUUCAAUUUGUGCUCCUAAAUCUCUCUUCCCAGAGCUGCCUCGCCUGGGCCAACACUUCUGGAACGCUGAAAAUGUAAACCUCCCUUCCUGCGUCCCCUCCUCUAGAAAUGUUAUCUCUCACUCCACCACCGCUGAGCCUUCCACGCCUCUGCACGACGCAUCUGAUCCUCACCCUCUUCUCCCUUCCGGACAUUAAAUGUCAAUUAAAAUGGCUCCUGCUCUCUCAAAACCGGCGUGACUACGAAAAGAAAUCCUCAGCCCUUCUCCAGCGGCUCCAGAAAAAAUUAUCCCUGUUGCACUUGCCUCUGCCCGUAUACACUUCCCUCCUUUUCUCUCUCCACUUAAUGACUCAGAAGCUCGUUCGGUACCUAAAACCGAUCACCUGGAGUCUGCAGAAGGCUUCCUUGACCCCGCCAACUGUUUCUCCGCGACCUAUUCCCCAGCUAUCCACCACUCGGCCCAUCAAUCCUUCCUCCUGCCCCCCUAUUCGCCAGUUUUAUCCUUCAAUAACCCCCUCCCGGUCGUUAGAUGUUGCCACCAACCCCACUAUUCCCCAAAUACACCCCGCGAUCCCUUUUCGACCCAUUAAUCCUCCUGUGCAUACCUUAAAGCCCUCUUUUGAACCUCCAACGAUCGAGACCCAUGUGGAGAACUUCAUAAACAACCUCCAAUGGACACAAGAUGGUACCAUAAACUUAGCACGGACCUUCGAAAUUCUCCAUAAUCUCGACAAAUUACCGCAGACCCCAACAAUUUAUUCAGAACUCUUCAACCUCUGCCUAGAGGACUGUAUUGACGACAUCUGGACUCUCUCGCCGACUCCAGUGGGCCUGAAACAAUUUUUAAAUAAACUCAACGAUGAUCUCUCGAUUCAUAAAAAUGAGAUCAUUCCCGCGUACUUCGUGUACAGGUACUACAACAAAAUGGACGAGUUACUCUUGGUUGUUCAGCGGCUACUGGACACAAAAGUCUACCAGCGAGAGAAGAGUUAUCACCGAUGCUGUCGACACCUGAUCACCAUCGAGGAGAACAUGUUUAGAUUCGCUGUAUUCAACGGAAAUUUAGAUGGUGUUAAAUACUUCUGGAGCAAGUUGACGGAUCAAGAGAGAGGUCGGAACCUGUUGAAGAUGUUGGAGGUGUCGCUGAUGUCCGCGGGGAGCAGGAACGGGUGGAUCGCACCACUCAGGAUGCAGGAGUAUGAGGAGCAUGCGGAGAUAUCGAUCUUCCUCCUGAGUCAAGUUGAUCAAGACCAUUUGCCGGAUCUGUUCAAUCCUCUGGAGAAAAAACGAGACUUCCUGAUGGUCCUAGGGGCUUUUGUCGAUUUUCCGUGGCACGAGUCCUUUAUCUGGACUGUGGAGAAGAACUUUCAUCUUCUGGAUGCUGAGAGCUUCAACUUCAUUACCGCUGGAACGCUCUAUAAAGCAUGGAAGCACUUUGAGUUAUUUGGGGUCUCUAUUAUGGAGAAUAUCUACUUCAGUUAUUUCCGGAGAAUCUGGGAGAAGAGCUCGAUUGAACUACGAAAGAGCUACGGUGUAAACUAUUGGAGGAUCUUUUUUCUGCUGGGGAAAUUGAAGGAGUUGGAGGUGGUGAAGGAGAUCUACCGGGAGGAGAGUCUCAAAGCGAGAAUGAGAGGAGCACUGGACGAAGGGGACAGGUGGUUCAGAGUGUUCUAUAAGAGGGACUCCAUGGGGUUUUGGUGGUGGUUCGAGGAGGAAGUACUCAACGGUGAUGGUGAAAAGAGGAGAUUUAGGGGAAUGAUUUGCGAGAUACUGAUGGACAAGGAGAAGGACGAUUUGUGGCAGGAGUACAAAGACAGGGGGGAAGGUAAGGGGAAAAAAAAGGAUAACAAAAAUAAGAAGUGAUUCUAGCAGAUCUAUUUUGAAGAUCUUAGCAAAUAGUUUUGGAUUUACGUUCGUGUAAACGAAAAAGAGAAAGUCGAGGAAUUUGUGGGAUAACGGGGGGUUUGCAAAGGUUAAUUUCCAAAUGGGAACUUUGACGGCGCAUUUUUGGAUGUUGCUUACUCAAGAUUAUAAUGUUAAUGUUAAAAAUAUAAUGUGAGUGUUGAAAUAUGCCUCAUGUUAGUGUAAGUACAAAAUCUAUUGGAAGAUCGAAAUGUUUAGAGUAAGACGCGAAAUUUUUUAUGUGUAGCUUUUCUAAGGAUUGUUAUUGUAGUUUCCCCGAUGGACAGUUUAAUAAAAUAUCAGUGGAAGUUAUAAGUUUUGUAAAAUGGUUGUAGUCCCUUUAUCAAUCUCCAUUGGUAGCAGCACAAUAACAACCAUUUCAUCAUUAAAACAAACGAUCACUAGUUAACUACGCAUUGCAUUUUUAGAAUUAAUUGUCUAAUACUUUCGGAAUAAAAUUCUGUUAAAAUUUCAAUAAAAACUAUAGUGGAUUUGAAAUAAUUUUUGAAUUAUCUUAUGAAUUAAGUUCUUCAGAGAAGCAAAGUCAAAAUUGUCCCCCAUUUUUUCAUUAAGUUGUUACUUGUCAUUUUCUGGAGAUGUCAACCCUUCUGUUUUACCGACAGUCCAUCAAGUUCCACCAGCCAUCGAUAAUCCCUUCCUUCUUCGUAUUCAACAAAAAUUUUGAGAAAUUCCUGAGAACACCAUUUUGCUAUCACAAAAAUUGAAACGAAAAUUUACAAAUCACGAAUAAUUCAUGGGGACUCAACAAUUCCCCUAACAACCACCACAACUUGACCCUCACAACGUUGUUUACUUCACCACCGCAAGGGUUACCGACGCCAGCGCACAACAAUUUCAACAAAACAGAAUUUUCAUUCCCAUUUUCAUGAGUGUUUUGUCUCUCUCUCAGCAGUCAUGUCCCUGUCGUUGCCACGGUGUGUCGUGACUCCCAAGUGCCAGACGAUAUUUACGUAGAGUUUAAUAAUUUAUCGAAGACACCAAUGAGUGCAGAGACAGAAUAGAGGCGAGCAAAACACAAUAGAACAGACGAGUAAGUGAGUGAACCUUUUAUUCGAUUGCGUGAUUUUUUGUGCCACAAUUUUCCAUAAAAUCCGGACUUUUUCGGCUUUUCCACAGUUAAUGCCAACUACAGACGUCACGUGACAAUUAUCGAUUAUUUUAUCAAUAACUUGCGAUGGACAGAAUUGCGAAGAAUAGGAAAGAAUACGUUAAUUGAUUCAAAAUUUCACCUGAGGUUGAAGUUUGGCAUUUUCUUUAAUGGACCAGUAUCUUUCGAGUGAGUGGAUUUAGAAGGAAAAAUCAUAAAAUAUUUUUUGUCGAGAAUUUCGCAAGGGACAAACAAAAUUUUGUGACAUUUUAUGACGGAGGCAGUUGUGGUUCAGUCACUGUAAAACCCAUGGAAUAAUUGGUGGCAUGAAAUCGUGCGGUAAUUCUGGAGAUUCGAUCGGUUAACUGACCUGCGUCGUCUCCAGCGGAUCGAUGUGUCCUCGACCCUAAGUGAAAUUUUACAUCUUGAAGAGUGGAUCAAUUGAGGUGUUCGCUGUGAGGGGAGUAACCGAUUAGUAAGCUGGAAGCCUCGUGUUUCGCGUUGAGUAAGAGCAUUAUGCAACUAGGAAAGUUGUCCGGGAAU